GUUGUUAUGAGCCAGGCAGCUGAGGCGGGUAACAAUACGAGUCUGUUGGACAUGUCUUCUGGGUUGUCACGUUCAAUUUGCACAUGACCUCCCGGCCAAAAAAUGGGAAAGAAGUGGUAGAAUGUGGGACUGAAAGCUCAUAUUAUUGCUUUGACAGCUUCACUCAUCUAGAAGUAAUGCAAAAUGCAAUUUAUAUUUAUACACUCUGACCUCCUGCGCAGAGAGGGAAAGUAUCUAAUGAUGGGCCGAGGUAGUGGAGGAAGAAACAGAUCUCAAUACAGCUGGAAUUUGUCUACAUUUCUGCUCUUCAACCAUUCAAUUACAGUCAAAAGACAAAUGAAGCAGGGACAGUGUGCUGGUGAGGUAGUGACACAAUUAUUUUAUAGUGACUGCCUUCUGGCUUUGAGUCUUGGCAAAGGAGGCUACAACACGCCUUAUUUCACUGGAGACAGAUAAUCUGCUUGCUCCCAGCGGACAAAGGCCCUCUGCUUGUAGGUGCGUCAUUAUGCCCAUCAGAGAGGAGAGAAGACACUAGCCAGUCAGUGACACUCCGGGUAUGCACUUGGAAGUUCUUGAGAGAGGCUGACACUUUAAUCCUAUUAACCAAGAUAAUUCAAGUCAGGCCUGGUGGUAACUGGGGCAUUAUUCACUUUUGAGUGGAAAUAGGCAGAAGGCAGAGAGCAUCAUUUUCUUUUGUGCAUCAGGAAAUUUACUGGCUUUCCUGUGUCCCCAGAUAGCUUCAUUUUGAAUAGAAUCCCCCAGGUAACUGGGAGAAUAAGGGUAUCAUUGUCCAUAUUUUCAGAUAUGACCUGAGUAUCUCAACCAGUGCUUUAAAUGAACAGUGGUUUCCGUAAAAGUUGGCCUCCUGGGGCUGGGGAGAGAAUUCUGGCUUUUCCAAAGGACGGAAAGGGACAGAGGCGGUCACCUUCACAAGGCUGGUAUUGCUGGCAGAAGAACAUCAAACCACUAUUUUUGGUCUGCAUCAAGAACCUUGCUAGAGACCCACAGAUCAAACCUUAGAAAGAAAUACAGCACUGGGAAUUGUGGCUGACAAGGCAGCAGAGUGCUGUAAAGUGUUUCCCCAUGUUGCCCCCUCCCCUUAAAUUCUCCUAGAUAGCACACUUUCUCCUACUGUAUCUCCCCAUUGCAUCUAACUGGUGACUUGGUGACUUCUGAUAUAGAAUGCUCAAAGUCUUUUUUUUCCUUAAGCUGAGCACAAUGGACUCUCUGUGGAGGAAUAUUGUACAAUUCCCACAUUAUACAAUAUUGUAUGCCUCCCACAUUAUGCAAUAUUGUAUAACUAUUACAUUAUACAAUAUCAUAUGCCUCCCACAUUGUACAAUGCUGUAUAACUUCCAUCUUCCAGAGGGAAACCAUCUGCAGAGUUCAGCUGGUCAAUUUCUCAGGUUUCCUGGAUUUUUGACACUAUUGAUUUCAAGUUCUUAGUAACUUCCUAGAGUCAGAAGAAGGUGGAGUGAGUGAUGUAUAUGAAGUUAGACAGGGACAGGGGAAUCAGAUGUGCAUGUUGGGGACAGGUUUAUAUCCUUGUGGAUGUCCAAGAGAGAUGUACUGAUGUGCAUUUCUGCACACUGUUUGUAAGAUGUACCGCUGUGUGUAAGAGAUGCACUUACGUUCACUGUACAUAAGAAGCAAUAAGGACUGGCCAGAAAGAAGGAGGGUGGGCUGUUUUCCUGGAUGAGAACAGUCUCACAUUCUCCUCCCUUUGGGAACUCAGAACAAGGAGUUCUAGGAUCGAAGCGAGGAUCUAGAAGUGGGGAAGAGACCCAAGGCAUGGCAACACCGGUGAUAUGCUCUACAGAUAUGGCCAGCAUCUUCUUUGUCCCAAAGGUGCUAUCAUAACCAAGGACUCACUAAACUCACCAAGUGUUGAAGACAGGAGCACAAUGUCUGGGAGACACUGACACCCACCAGCACCCUUACUUAGAGUAUUCUAGAGUGACUUCUGAAGGGGCUGGCCAGGCGGGAAAUGGACACUUCGCUCUCCCGAGCUGGUUUCUUCCUGAUCCUCUGCCAGAAGCUGUCUUCCUACCAUCAACCUUUUGCAAACUUCUACUAGACUUUACUCGAAUUUUUUUUUUCUCCGUUCCCCUCUUCUCACGAAGUUAGCACGGGAGGGAAAAAAAUGACACCAAGGGAGAGAGAGAGAGAUUUUCUGCCAGUUUUUUAUUUUUAUUUUUUUUCUUUUUUCUGGGCUUGCUUAGUACAGUGACCUCAGUCUUAGCUGCACAGGGUCUUUCAAGGAACUGACUUCUCAGAGAGGGGAGCGCAUCCUUCUUCCUACUCCCGCUUCCAGCAGUCUGUGCUUUUAAUGGGUGCUUUUAAUCACCCAUCUCCAAUGAAAACACAGUGCUGCUGUCCAGACCUGAAGAACUCGAUCUGCCCUAAAGUGCGCUGUGGAGUGGGAGACCCGCCACCAGAACAUCAGCACUCCAUGGGGAUGUUGACCUAGUAGGAUUCCGGUUGCCUUGAGGAUGCCAGCUCAGCUGGAGAGUGCUGGAGAAGAGACAAGGGACUUCUGAGGAAGCUUGUCACACAAAAAGUGAAAUAUGUUUAUCCCAAUCCUAGUCUCAGAAUCCCUGGCAAGAAAGCCAAAGUUGGUAGAUGUCAAAGCUAGCAUUGCUCCCCCCAAGCUCAUUUUCAUGAAGGGUGCCGCUCACCCAAGCCUCAGAUCAGAAAAAUUUUUGACAGUGUGCAAACCGUUAAAAGGAAGCUGUAGUUCCUCUUCUCCUUCCUUUUCAAAAAUCGAUGGAAGCAAAAAAGUGAGCAAUCUUAUCUAAUUCCACUAUCGAGGCAGAGAGCAUAGAUAGAUCGGAAAUUCAUAGCUUAUGGGCACAAAUGUUUCCUGCUUCCUGUGUUCUGCUUGGUAAAAAACAACAAAACAAAACAAAAGGUAGCUGAAGUUUUUGGGUUCUUGCUUAGUUGGAGAAAUUUGGGUUCUUGUAUCGUUGGAAAAAAGAUCCAAGUUUUUUUGUUUUGUUUUGUUUUGUUUUUGUUUUUUUUUUGGGGGGGGUUUCAAAGAAACCAGAUCUUGGACACAUUUUGCCAGGUUCUAUCCUCUGUGUAACAAAACAGUGCCUUCUAACUUUGUUUUCUCAACCCCAUCCCAACUUUUAUGACUUUUUUCUUUUCAUAACUCUGCUUUUUCCCUUUUCUGUCAAAGUGUUUCUGAUCUUGAUUAAAUAUUAGCUAUCCAUUUUUUUUUUGUCUGUUGCAUUCCCCCAACCACUUGCAUCAGAGUACAAACAGAUCCAUACUUCCAGUGUCUGACCACAGUCAAAGAAAGUUCACGUGGUUGGAACUGAGUCUAAAACAAUGCGCUGGGCACCCACUGUGUACUGAAUAACAGCUGCAAAAAUAGCUACCAAAAUUAACUAGUCACAAAACUAAGAGGAUGGGGAAAACACACGACAAAACAGGAUUUUUUUUUUAACUAACAAAAAAGUAGUAAGAUGAAUGUAAUGGGUGCUGUUUUCUCUUCUGGCAUGAUAUAUGACUAGCAAUAACUGGACCAUGAAGAGAAAACUCUAUGUCUCUUCUCCUGUAUUGUUUUGUUAGGAAUCUCUCAGAACUAAACAAAUGCAGGGUGCUUGUUCUUCAAAAGGCUGACUACUGCCAGGUAAAGAGUUGGAAAAGAGUGUGGUUCUUCUCACUAAAUAAGUGGCAUGUUAAAACCCUUGUCAAAAACUUUCCUUCAAUAUUUUGGUUUGGAAACGGCUGGGGGAGGGACAUUGUAAACGAAAUGACUUCCUUGGCAUGGUCUGUAUAAAUGUGUAUCCUUAAAAUUUGAGAGGAUAAUAGGUGCCUGGAGAGCAAUGCAAGCCAGGUUGGGGAUUGUACUCCCUGACCCUGUGUGAGCACCUGAGAAAAGUAAAGGUGCAACUUAAUUUUCAUAUUUCCUUUCUUCUCUAUUUCUAUAUGGAACCUUGUUUCAAUUUAUACUCCAGAAUAAAACUGUGUGCUUUAAAGUUC